AUGGUCAAGCAAUAAAGAGCACAAGGGGAAUGCCUUGGCACUAGGAGCCGACGAAGGACGCGAUAAGCUGCGAAAAGCUUCGGGGAGGCGCAAAUAGCCUUUGAUCCGGAGAUAUCCGAAUGGGGAAACCNNGUAGCGGCGAGCGAAAUGGAAACAGGCCAAACCAGAGAACCUAGUUCUCUGGGGUUGCGGACUGCGUAAGGUAUUGAUAAGUGUUAGUCGAAUUGUUUUGGGAAAGCAAACCAAAGACGGUGAAAGUCCGGUAGACGAA
rnacentral:rRNA from 1 species